rnacentral:rRNA from 1 species
CCUACGGGGUCUGCAGUGGGGAAUAUUGGACAAUGGGCGAAAGCCUGAUCCAGCCAUGCCGCGUGUGUGAAGAAGGCCUUCGGGUUGUAAAGCACUUUCAGUGGGGAAGAAAGCCUUGGGGCUAAUACCCUCGAGGAAGGACAUCACCCACAGAAGAAGCACCGGCUAACUCCGUGCCAGCAGCCGCGGUAAUACGGAGGGUGCGAGCGUUAAUCGGAAUUACUGGGCGUAAAGCGCGCGUAGGCGGUCUGAUAAGCCGGUUGUGAAAGCCCCGGGCUCAACCUGGGAACGGCAUCCGGAACUGUCAGGCUAGAGUGCAGGAGAGGAAGGUAGAAUUCCCGGUGUAGCGGUGAAAUGCGUAGAGAUCGGGAGGAAUACCAGUGGCGAAGGCGGCCUUCUGGACUGACACUGACGCUGAGGUGCGAAAGCGUGGGUAGCAAACAGGAUUAGAUACCCGUGUCGUC